GACGAACGCUGGCGGCGUGCCUAAUACAUGCAAGUAGAACGCUGAAGAGAGGAGCUUGCUCUUCUUGGAUGAGUUGCGAACGGGUGAGUAACGCGUAGGUAACCUGCCUGGUAGCGGGGGAUAACUAUUGGAAACGAUAGCUAAUACCGCAUAAAAUUGAUUAUUGCAUGAUAAUUAAUUGAAAGAUGCAAUUGCAUCACUACCAGAUGGACCUGCGUUGUAUUAGCUAGUUGGUGAGGUAGCGGCUCACCAAGGCGACGAUACAUAGCCGACCUGAGAGGGUGAUCGGCCACACUGGGACUGAGACACGGCCCAGACUCCUACGGGAGGCAGCAGUAGGGAAUCUUCGGCAAUGGGGGGAACCCUGACCGAGCAACGCCGCGUGAGUGAAGCAGGUUUUCGGAUCGUAAAGCUCUGUUGUAAGAGAAGAACGGGUGUGAGAGUGGAAAGUUCACACUGUGACGGUAUCUUACCAGAAAGGGACGGCUAACUACGUGCCAGCGGCCGCGGUAAUACGUAGGUCCCGAGCGUUGUCCGGAUUUAUUGGGCGUAAAGCGAGCGCAGGCGGUUAGAUAAGUCUGAAGUUAAAGGCUGUGGCUUAACCAUAGUAUGCUUUGGAAACUGUUUAACUUGAGUGCAGAAGGGGAGAGUGGAAUUCCAUGUGUAGCGGUGAAAUGCGUAGAUAUAUGGAGGAACACCGGUGGCGAAAGCGGCUCUCUGGUCUGUAACUGACGCUGAGGCUCGAAAGCGUGGGGAGCAAACAGGAUUAGAUACCCUGGUAGUCCACGCCGUAAACGAUGAGUGCUAGGUGUUAGGCCCUUUCCGGGGCUUAGUGCCGCAGCUAACGCAUUAAGCACUCCGCCUGGGGAGUACGACCGCAAGGUUGAAACUCAAAGGAAUUGACGGGGGCCCGCACAAGCGGUGGAGCAUGUGGUUUAAUUCGAAGCAACGCGAAGAACCUUACCAGGUCUUGACAUCCCUCUGACCGCUCUAGAGAUAGAGUUUUCCUUCGGGACAGAGGUGACAGGUGGUGCAUGGUUGUCGUCAGCUCGUGUCGUGAGAUGUUGAGUUAAGUCCCGCAACGAGCGCAACCCCUAUUGUUAGUUGCCAUCAUUCAGUUGGGCACUCUAGCGAGGCUGCCGGUAAUAAACCGGAGGAAGGUGGGGAUGACGUCAAAUCAUCAUGCCCCUUAUGACCUGGGCUACACACGUGCUACAAUGGCUGGUACAACGAGUCGCAAGCCGGUGACGGCAAGCUAAUCUCUGAAAGCCAGUCUCAGUUCGGAUUGUAGGCUGCAACUCGCCUACAUGAAGUCGGAAUCGCUAGUAAUCGCGGAUCAGCACGCCGCGGUGAAUACGUUCCCGGGCCU
rnacentral:rRNA from 1 species